rfam:TPA: Bos taurus chromosome 2, whole genome shotgun sequence.
UCCUUGGCUCAGACGGUAAAGCGUCUGCCUGCAAUGCAGGAGACCUGGGUUCAAUCCCUGGGUCAGGAA